rnacentral:rRNA from 1 species
CAGUCGCCACGGUAAUACAGAGGGUGCGAGCGUUAAUCGGAUUUACUGGGCGUAAAGCGUGCGUAGGCGGCUUCUUAAGUCGGAUGUGAAAUCCCUGAGCUUAACUUAGGAAUUGCAUUCGAUACUGGGAAGCUAGAGUAUGGGAGAGGAUGGUAGAAUUCCAGGUGUAGCGGUGAAAUGCGUAGAGAUCUGGAGGAAUACCGAUGGCGAAGGCAGCCAUCUGGCCUAAUACUGACGCUGAGGUACGAAAGCAUGGGGAGCAAACAGGAUUAGAUACCGGGUAGUCCCUGUCUCUUAUACA